rnacentral:lncRNA from 1 species
UGGUUAGUUAUAUCUAGUGGUUGAUGGUUUGGCUAUAGUUGUUACUUUAUGAUGUAAUAUGAUGAUUGGAUGGUAUAAAUGGUGUUGAUAUACAUGUAAUAAAGUGAAAAUAUUGUUAAUGGUAUUGUAUUAUGGAUGGUAGGAGGAGGUAAUGGUAUUGUAUUAUGGAUGGUAGGAGGUAAUGGUAGUGUAUUAUGGAUGGUAUGAUAGAUGAAAGGGAAAGUGUAUUCAAAGUGGUGUACCAAAACACCUUAUUUCAUGUUGAUACAUAUAAUGCAUAUGUGCAUUUCUAAUAUUGGUAAUGUAAAAAGUAGUGUAUUACAUAUGGUAGUGUAAAUGAAAGUGCAAUUG